UUAAGCAUAUCAAUAAGCGGAGGAAAAGAAACUAACAAGGAUUCCCCUAGUAACUGCGAGUGAAGCGGGAAAAGCUCAAAUUUAAAAUCUGGCGGUCUUUGGCCGUCCGAGUUGUAGUCUGGAGAAGUGCUUUCCGCGCUGGACCGUGUACAAGUCUCUUGGAACAGAGCGUCAUAGAGGGUGAGAAUCCCGUCUUUGACACGGACUACCAGUGCUUUGUGAUGCGCUCUCAACGAGUCGAGUUGUUUGGGAAUGCAGCUCAAAAUGGGUGGUAAAUUCCAUCUAAAGCUAAAUAUUGGCGAGAGACCGAUAGCGAACAAGUACCGUGAGGGAAAGAUGAAAAGCACUUUGGAAAGAGAGUUAAACAGUACGUGAAAUUGCUGAAAGGGAAACGAUUGAAGUCAGUCGCGUUGGCCGGAACUCAGCCUUGCUUCCGCUUGGUGUAUUUUCUGGUUGACGGGCCAGCAUCAGUUUUGAUCGUUGGAUAAAGGCUGGGGGAAUGUGGCACCUUCGGGUGUGUUAUAGCCCUCGGUCACAUACAACGGCUGGGACUGAGGAUCGCAGCACGCCUUUAUGGUCGGGGUUCGCCCACGUAUGUGCUUAGGAUGCUGGCAUAAUGGCUUUAAACGACCCGUCUUGAAACACGGACCAAGGAGUCUAACAUGCCCGCGAGUGUUUGGGUGGAAAACCCGAGCGCGUAAUGAAAGUGAAAGUUGAGAUCCCUGUCAUGGGGAGCAUCGACGCCCGGACCUGAACUUCUGUGACGGCUCUGCGGUGGAGCGUGUAUGUUGGGACCCGAAAGAUGGUGAACUAUGCCUGAAUAGGGUGAAGCCAGAGGAAACUCUGGUGGAGGCUCGUAGCGAUUCUGACGUGCAAAUCGAUCGUCAAAUUUGGGUAUAGGGGCGAAAGACUAAUCGAACCAUCUAGUAGCUGGUUCCUGCC
rnacentral:rRNA from 1 species